CUCUCUCUCUCUCUCUCUCUCUCUCUCUCUCUCUCUCUCUCUAAUGGGGAACUCAAAUGCUGACUCAAGUGAGCACUCUCUCUUGAGCAAGGGAGGGAGAAGGGGGACCAGUGAGGGGAGGCAUCAACACAAGAAAUGGAACUUCUUGGGAACAUCAUUGAUCCGAAGGAUGAUAGGGAGUCUUCCAAGCAGAUCAGCAGCUGCAAAGGAGCAAAUGCAUGCCUCCUCUUUUCAUAGAUUGGCUUCUUGCUGAUACUUUAAGAAUGCAGUCUGGUUCCAUUGCUUCCAAGCGUUUGUUUUUUAGUUUUUCCUCCUCCCUUUGCAAUAGAGGAUGUUUAGAUGCAUCCAGCAAAAACUUCUUACAACGUUAACAUUUUGGUGCAGCGAAGUCGCAGCCAACAAUAGUUAGCUUGAAGAUGUUUGUUUGGUGUAAAAUCUUGUAAUGCUGUUGCCAAAGAUGCUUUCUUGUAAUGCCAUUGCAAAAUCAGUGGUUAACCCCCUUGGAUGGCCAGCCAAGUAAAAUGGAUCACUUUUGUUGGUAGUGGCGUUCUUUCAGGCAACGAACAUCAGCCAAUUACCAGUCCAUAUCUAAGAAAAUUCUAAGCGGUAAUAGUUUGAACAAGAAUCAAGUGGAGCCUAGUUGGAUGUCCCCAUAGACAUUUACAACAAUCAUGUAGACAACUAAGAGAUGGAUGCUGGAUUCCCCCCUUGAAAGGUGAUUUCAGUCAUCCUGGUCUUCUUUGGAAACGUGUGAUGGGAGGUUUCCUUGAUUGGAAAAUUUCUCUCUUCCACUGCC
rnacentral:lncRNA from 1 species